rnacentral:rRNA from 11 species
GAGGAGGUGGGUUGAGCAGUGCCGGUGGCAGCAGCAGCGGAAACAGCACUAGCACUAUUGGUACUAGCACUAUUGGUACUAGCACUACUGGCACUGGCACU